rnacentral:snoRNA from 1 species
GUACAAAUGAUGUGAACACAACAGUAUGAGAAAAAUCAAUGAUACUGUAAACGCUUUCUGAUGUA